GUAUUACUCCCUCCGUUCGGAAUUACUUGUCACAAAAAUGGAUGCAUCUACAACUAAAAUACAUCUAGAUACAUUCAUUUCUUGGACGAGUAAUUCCGAACGGAGGGAGUAGAUU
rnacentral:pre_miRNA from 1 species